UACGUAGGGUGCGAGCGUUGUCCGGAAUUAUUGGGCGUAAAGGGCUCGUAGGCGGUUUGUCACGUCGGAAGUGAAAACUCAGGGCUUAACCCUGAGCCUGCUUCCGAUACGGGCAGACUAGAGGUAUGCAGGGGAGAACGGAAUUCCUGGUGUAGCGGUGAAAUGCGCAGAUAUCAGGAGGAACACCGGUGGCGAAGGCGGUUCUCUGGGCAUUACCUGACGCUGAGGAGCGAAAGUGUGGGGAGCGAACAGG
rnacentral:rRNA from 1 species